rnacentral:rRNA from 1 species
GACGAACGCUGGCGGCGUGCUUAACACAUGCAAGUCGUACGGUAAGGCCCUUUCGGGGGUACACGAGUGGCGAACGGGUGAGUAACACGUGAGUAACCUGCCCACAACUUUGGGAUAACGCUAGGAAACUGGUGCUAAUACUGGAUAUGUGCUCCUGCUGCAUGGUGGGGGUUGGAAAGCUCCGGCGGUUGUGGAUGGACUCGCGGCCUAUCAGCUUGUUGGUGGGGUAGUGGCCUACCAAGGCGGCGACGGGUAGCCGGCCUGAGAGGGUGACCGGCCACAUUGGGACUGAGAUACGGCCCAGACGCCUACGGGAGGCAGCAGUGGGGAAUAUUGCACAAGGGGCGCAAGCCUGAUGCAGAAACGCCGCGUGCGGGAUGACGGCCUUCGGGUUGUAAACCGCUUUCAGCAGGGACGAAGCUUUUUGUGACGGUACCUGCAGAAGAAGCACCGGCUAACUACGUG